rnacentral:rRNA from 1 species
UACUUCAGGUACCCCCGGCUUUCAUGGCUUGACGGGCGGUGUGUACAAGGCCCGGGAACGUAUUCACCGCGCCAUGGCUGAUGCGCGAUUACUAGCGAAUCCAGCUUCACGAAGUCGGGUUGCAGACUUCGAUCCGAACUGAGAGAGGCUUUUGGGAUUAGCAUCCUGUCACCAGGUAGCUGCCUUCUGUACCCCCCAUUGUAACACGUGUGUAGCCCCGGACGUAAGGGCCGUGCUGAUUUGACGUCAUCCCCACCUUCCUCACAUCUUACGACGGCAGUCUCUCUAGAGUCCUCAGCAUGACCUGUUAGUAACUAAAGAUAAGGGUUGCGCUCGUUAUGGCACUUAAGCCGACACCUCACGGCACGAGCUGACGACAACCAUGCAGCACCUUCACAUUUGCCUUGCGGCUAACCUGUUUCCAGAUUAUUCAAAUGCAAUUUAAGCCCGGGUAAGGUUCCUCGCGUAUCAUCGAAUUAAACCACAUGUUCCUCCGCUUGUGCGGGCCCCCGUCAAUUCCUUUGAGUUUCACCGUUGCCGGCGUACUCCCCAGGUGGAAUACUUAAUGCUUUCGCUUGGCCGCUUACUGUAUAUCGCAAACAGCGAGUAUUCAUCGUUUACUGUGUGGACUACCAGGGUAUCUAAUCCUGUUUGAUACCCACACUUUCGAGCAUCAGUGUCAGUUGCAGUCCAGUGAGCUGCCUUCGCAAUCGGAGUUCUUCGUGAUAUCUAAGCAUUUCACCGCUACACCACGAAUUCCGCCCACCUCUACUGUACUCAAGACAGCCAGUAUCAACUGCAAUUUUACGGUUGAGCCGCAAACUUUCACAACUGACUUAACUGUCCACCUACGCUCCCUUUAAACCCAAUAAAUCCGGAUAACGCUCGGAUCCUCCGUAUUACCGCGGCUGCUGGCACGGAGUUAGCCGAUCCUUAUUCAUAUGGUACAUACAAAAUUCCACACGUGGAAAACUUUAUUCCCAUAUAAAAGAAGUUUACAACCCAUAGGGCAGUCAUCCUUCACGCUACUUGGCUGGUUCAGGCCUGCGCCCAUUGACCAAUAUUCCUCACUGCUGCCUCCCGUAGGAGUUUGGACCGUGUCUCAGUUCCAAUGUGGGGGACCUUCCUCUCAGAACCCCUAUCCAUCGAAGGUUUGGUGAGCCGUUACCUCACCAACUGCCUAAUGGAACGCAUCCCCAUCGAUAACCGAAAUUC